rnacentral:tRNA from 1 species
GGAGGUGUAGCUGUUGGAAAGCACAUGUUUAGCAUGUAUGAAGCCCUUGGUUCGAUCCCCAACAUCUCUG